rnacentral:rRNA from 1 species
UACGUAGGUGGCAAGCGUUGUCCGGAUUUACUGGGCGUAAAGAGCGCGCAGGCGGUCGAGUAAGUCGAAUGUGAAAGCCCCCGGCUCAACUGGGGAGGGUCACGCGAUACUGAUCGACUCGAAGGCAGGAGAGGGUAGUGGAAUUCCCGGUGUAGUGGUGAAAUGCGUAGAUAUCGGGAGGAACACCAGUGGCGAAGGCGACUACCUGGCCUGUUCUUGACGCUGAGGCGCGAAAGCUAGGGGAGCAAACGGG